rnacentral:rRNA from 1 species
AGAGUUUGAUCCUGGCUCAAGACGAACGCUGGCGGCGUGCUUUACACAUGCAAGUCGAGCGAUGAGAUCCCUUCGGGGAAGGAUUAGCGGCGAACGGGUGAGGAACACGUGAGGAAUCUGCCUUCAACACUGGGAUAACUCCGGGAAACCGGGGCUAAUACCGGAUACGAGACCUGCAGGCAUCUGCGGGUCUGGAAAGUUUUUCGGUUGAAGAUGACCUCGCGGCCUAUCAGCUUGUUGGUGAGGUAAUGGCUCACCAAGGCGACGACGGGUAGCCGGCCUGAGAGGGCGACCGGCCACACUGGGACUGAGACACGGCCCAGACUCCUACGGGAGGCAGCAGUGGGGAAUAUUGGGCAAUGGAGGGAACUCUGACCCAGCGACGCCGCGUGCGGGAUGAAGGCCUUCGGGUUGUAAACCGCUUUCAGCAAGGAAGAAGCGAAAGUGACGGUACUUGCAGAAGAAGCACCGGCUAACUAUGUGCCAGCAGCCGCGGUAAUACAUAGGGUGCAAGCGUUGUCCGGAAUUAUUGGGCGUAAAGAGCUCGUAGGUGGUUCGUCACGUCGGAUGUGAAAAUCUGGGGCUUAACCCCAGACCUGCAUUCGAUACGGGCGAGCUAGAGUGUGGUAGGGGAGACUGGAAUUCCUGGUGUAGCGGUGGAAUGCGCAGAUAUCAGGAG